CAGACGAUCAGGGUGCUGGCAGUGAGAGUCCAGGGAGAGGAGCGGAAACAGAAGAGGAGCAGAAGACAGGGGCACUUGUGGGUUGCAGAGCCCCUCAGCCAUGUUGGGUGCCAAGCCACACUGGCUACCACGUCCCCUACACAGUCCCGGGCUUCCCUUGGCUCUGGUGCUUCUGGCCCUGGGGGCCGGGUGGGCCCAGGAGGGGUCAGAGCCCGUCCUGCUGGAGGGGGAGUGCCUUGUGGUCUGUGAGCCUGGGCGAGCUGCCGCAGGGGGGCCCGGAGGAGCAGCCCUGGGAGAGGCGCCCCCUGGGCGAGUGGCAUUUGCUGCGGUCCGAAGCCACCACCAUGAGCCAGCAGGGGAAACCGGCAAUGGCACCAGUGGGGCCAUCUACUUCGACCAGGUCCUGGUGAACGAGGGCGGUGGCUUUGACCGGGCCUCCGGCUCCUUCGUAGCCCCUGUCCGGGGUGUCUACAGCUUCCGGUUCCAUGUGGUGAAGGUGUACAACCGCCAAACUGUCCAGGUGAGCCUGAUGCUGAACACGUGGCCUGUCAUCUCAGCCUUUGCCAAUGACCCUGAUGUGACCCGGGAGGCAGCCACCAGCUCUGUGCUACUGCCCUUGGACCCCGGGGACCGAGUGUCUCUGCGCCUGCGUCGGGGAAAUCUACUGGGUGGCUGGAAAUACUCAAGUUUCUCUGGCUUCCUCAUCUUCCCUCUCUGAGGACCCAAGCCUUUCAAGCACAAGAAUCCAGCCCCUGACGACUUUCUUCUGCCCUCUCUUGCCCCAGAAACAGCAGAGGCAGGAGAGAGACUCCCCUCUGGCUGCCUAUAUCCCACCUCCUUGCAUGGGACCCUGUGCCAAACACCCAAGUUUAAGAAAAGAGUAGAGCUGUGGCAUCUCCAGACCUGGUCUUUCCACCCACCCACCACCAGUUCCCCUCCCAGCCACCUGCUGCAUCUGUUCCUGCCUGCAGCCCUAGAAUCAGGGCAAGGUUUGGCAAGAAGGAAGAUCUGCACUACUUUGCAGCCUCUGCUCCUCCUGUUCCCCCACACCAGCUUCCUGCUCAAUGCUGUUCAGGAACAGGUGGCACAGCCUGGAUGAAUCUAUCAAUAAAACAACUAGAGAAUGGUGGUCAGUGAGACACUAUAGGAUCACUAAAGAGAAGAUGCCUCUGGAGUUUGGAUCGGGUGUUACAGGUACAAGUAGGUAUGUUGCAGAGGAAAAUAAAUAUUAAACUGUAUACUAAAGUUACAUUUUAAAAGUUGAAUAAUGUUUGAGUUAAAUAGGAAAUACCAAGGUGAAUUUGUGGUUUUAAAAAGAAAUAACUUUUUGAACUGUCACUAACACUAAAAACAACAUCAGGAACAAUCUGAUAUCCAUUCUUAGAAACUGGAUCUUUGCUUCAAAUAGUAGUCACCAUUAAAAAAAAAAUACCAAAAAAACCUCAGGUUCCUUGAAGAAUAGCUGCACACCUUAAGUAACUCCAGGCCCAGAAAAUGUUGUUGAUGACAGAAAGCAAAGAUACUUUUUAAAUGUAUAAAGUAAAGCUGAAAGGCAAAGGAAUCAAUUUAAAGAGGCUCCCACUUAACAUGCUUUGACAAUUUGAUUAUCAAAAGGAAAAUAAUAUAGCUAAUUGGAACAAGGUGAAUUUUUUAAAAUCCAUGCAUCUAUAAUGAUAUUCGAAAAGAAAGAAGUCACUAUAAAGUGUGCCAAAAGGUAGUUAAUAUACUAAGUGAAAAAGAGUGAACGUAAUAGGCUAUUUUUAGUGAGUCGCGAUAAGUAGAACAUAAAUAUAGUAGACAUUUUGUCUAUUUGCACGGUACGUUUGUUUUUCUUUAUCUGUGUAAGUAGGGAGGGGUGAGUACAGAGAACUGUGAGUAAUUCCAGGAAGAUCUGGCACUGUGCCAAGAAUGAAAGAUACUGAUGGAACUAUUUGGGCAUAUUUUGCAACUAAGAAGAAAAACAGUCCAAUGGUGUGUUAUAAGACAAUGGAUUAGUCAAAUGUCCAAGACAACUGUUCACUGCUCAGGCUUGAUUGUUCAUCUCCUGGAAAAUGGAUCCUCUGUAUUACCUCACUUAUUAUAAUGAGAUAUUAAUUAGGCAAAAUGAUUAAGAGUAGGUUUGGCUGUAACAGUAAAACCCAAAAUAAGAAUAGCUUAAACAAAAUAGGAAUUCAUUUCUGUCUCACAUAGAAGAAUCUGUAAAUAAGGGUCCAGGGAUGGAUGGCAGCCUUAUGAUCAUUUGAAAGCCCAGUCUCCUGUCUUGCUGUUCUACCAUCCUUAGCUUGCCACCUCAUGACCCAAGAUGGCUCCCUGAGCUCCAGCCAUUACAUCAGCCUAACAGGAAGGAGGAAGGAAGAAACAGCACAUCUCUUUCCUUGAAAGAAGCUUUCUGAAAGGUGCACCAAUAUGUCUGAUUGUGUCUCAGUAGAAUUUAGUCACCUGGGCUCACCAAGCCAAGGAGAGAGGCUAGGAGCUAUAGGGUUUAUUCCAGGCAGCCAUGUCCAGCUAGAAGUUGGGAGUUUUAUAAUAAAGAAGAAGGGGAGAUUAGCUAUCGGGGAAGACAACUGGAAGUUGUUUUUUGUUGUUGUUUUUUGAGACAGAGUCACGGUCCGUCGACCAGGCCGGAGUGCAGUGGCGCAAUUUCAGCUCACUGCAACCUCCGCCUCCUGGGUUCAAGCAAUUCUCAUGCCUCAGCCUCCCGAGUAGCUGGGAUUACAGUUGUGCACCACCAGGCCCAGCUAAUUUUUUGUAUUUUCAGUGAAGAUGGGGUUUUGCCGUGUUGUCCAGGCUGGUCUGAAACUCCUGGCGUCACGUGAUCCAAUUACAGGUGUGAGCUACCACAUCCGGCCACAAAGUACUACCAACUUGAUGGCUUAAAGCAACUAUUUAUUAUCUCACAGUUUCUGUGGGUCAGAAGUCCAACAAAACGUGACUGGCUUCUCUGCUCAGGGUUUCACAAGGUCAAAAGCAAAGUAUAAGCAGGGCGGCCUUCCUUACUGGAGGGGAGGAAUUCACUUCUAAACUCAUUUCAAGUUCAGUUCCUUAUGGUUGUAGGACUUAGGUCCUGGCCCCCUCCAUUCUCAAGCCAACAAUGGCAAGCCAAGUGCUUCUCACACUUUGAAUCUCUCAGGCCUACCUUUCUACCAUCUCUCUCUGACUUCAGUGGAGAAAGUUCUCUGAGUUAAAGGACUCAUGUGAUUAGAUUGGGCCCACCCAGAUAAGCCAGGAUAAUCUCCCUAUUUUAAGGUCCACAACCUGAAUUGCAUAUUUGAAGUUUGUUUUGCCAUGUAAUAUAACAUAUUCACAGGUUCCAGGGAUUAAGGUAUGGACAUCUUCGGGACAUCUGCAUAUCAGAGUCACUAAACUUAAAGAUGGCUUCAUGUAGAGAAAAGGCAUCCAGCUACAAUACCACUGCAUGGAAAACGUAUGGGCUUGAAAAUUUCCCAUGAUAUAUACAAGAUAAAUAUCAGUUCAGAUUUUAAUCAUUUUAGAAGGUGAACCAGUUCCCAGGUCCCAACCAAAAAUUCAUUGAUUAAUAAUCCAAAACUUGAUCUACAUUGAGAUAUAUUUUUAUUUUAGAUAUCUAAAUUCAAAAAUUGGCCUGAGCUGAGAUAAUGUCUCUCAGGUCUACAGCCCAUUUUUAUAGUGGAUUUAAGCAUAGGUGUCAUAAACUUUAUAAUCCUUAUAAUGGUGUGUGUCCUUUAUCAAAAUGAAGCUUUUAGAGAAACUGAUGUAUUCGUGAUUCAAUUGAAAUAUUUAGGAGGAUUUGAUUGUUUUUAAUCAAUGUUUAAAUAAUUUUACUUGUUAAAUGUAGAGAUUUUGAUUUGCUGGUUAUAGAAAUUGUGUUCAAAUAUUUAGACCAUUUUUCCUUCAGUAGGUUUGUGAAUAGAUUAAACAAUAAAUAAAGCACAGAUGAUGGUGA